UACGUAGGGUGCGAGCGUUGUCCGGAAUUAUUGGGCGUAAAGAGCUCGUAGGCGGUCUGUCGCGUCGGAUGUGAAAACUCGGGGCUCAACCCCGAGCCUGCAUUCGAUACGGGCAGACUAGAGUUCGGUAGGGGAGACUGGAAUUCCGGGUGUAGCGGUGGAAUGCGUAGAGAUCCGGAAGAACACCGGUGGCGAAGGCGGCCUGCUGGGCAGUUUAGCUGACACUGAGGCGCGAAAGCGUGGGGAGCAAACAGG
rnacentral:rRNA from 1 species